rnacentral:rRNA from 1 species
AUUGAACGCUGGCGGCAGGCCUAACACAUGCCAGUCGAGCGGAUGAAGGGAGCUUGCUCCUGGAUUCAGCGGCGGACGGGUGAGUAAUGCCUAGGAAUCUGCCUGGUAGUGGGGGAUAACGUCCGGAAACGGGCGCUAAUACCGCAUACGUCCUGAGGGAGAAAGUGGGGGAUCUUCGGACCUCACGCUAUCAGAUGAGCCUAGGUCGGAUUAGCUAGUUGGUGGGGUAAAGGCCUACCAAGGCGACGAUCCGUAACUGGUCUGCGAGGAUGAUCAGUCACACUGGAACUGAGACACGGUCCAGACUCCUACGGGAGGCAGCAGUGGGGAAUAUUGGACAAUGGGCGAAAGCCUGAUCCAGCCAUGCCGCGUGUGUGAAGAAGGUCUUCGGAUUGUAAAGCUCUUUAAGUUGGGAGGAAGAGCAGUAAGUUAAUACCUUGCUGUUUUGACGUUACCAACAGAAUAAGCACCGGCUAACUUCGUG